UGUUUAUUGUAACAAAAACUGCAACAUUUCAGCCUGCACAGAGGCCUUUAUCUUGCUUGAUAAAAUAAUAAUAAUAAUAAUAAUAAUAAUAAAAGCCUCUGUGCAGGACGACAUGUUGCAGUUUUUGUCACAAUAAACC